UACGUAGGGUGCAAGCGUUGUCCGGAAUUAUUGGGCGUAAAGAGCUCGUAGGCGGUUUGUCGCGUCUGCUGUGAAAACCCGAGGCUCAACCUCGGGCCUGCAGUGGGUACGGGCAGACUAGAGUGCGGUAGGGGAGAUUGGAAUUCCUGGUGUAGCGGUGGAAUGCGCAGAUAUCAGGAGGAACACCAAUGGCGAAGGCAGAUCUCUGGGCCGUAACUAACGCUGAGGAGCGAAAGCGUGGGGAGCGAACAGG
rnacentral:rRNA from 1 species